CUUUUUAACUAGGAUUGCCUCUUUCCUGCAUUUUGAAGAACCUUCCUCCUCAUCCCACCUGAAGAGAGAUAAAUGCCAAAAUCUUAAACUCCAGAAUGUCCCAAGUUGGAAGAGACCUGUAGAAGUGUGGUCAUCUUUGAAGUCUAAUUUAAAUGCAGUUUGCCCACGUUUCCAUGGAAGGCUGAUGGCACCUCUCCUGCCCUCCAAAGCCUGGCUCCAGCAGUCCAUCCCCAGCUGACCCUGUCCCUUCUCAGGCCGCCUGGCCCCACCUCAGAGCCCUUGGCAGCACACCUUGUUCUCAGAGGUGUUUCAGUUUCUGAUGGAAACAUGCCAGGAUUGAAAGGUACCAGCACUUGUUGGGAUGGGAUGCUGUGCCAGGGAGCAGCAGGAUGUGCCUCUGGAAGAGGAACUCAGCCCACUCACUGAUCUGUCCCAG
rnacentral:lncRNA from 1 species